AGAGUUUGAUCCUGGCUCAGGAUGAACGCUGGCGGCGUGCCUAAUACAUGCAAGUCGAGCGAACGGACGAGAAGCUUGCUUCUCUGAUGUUAGCGGCGGACGGGUGAGUAACACGUGGAUAACCUACCUAUAAGACUGGGAUAACUUCGGGAAACCGGAGCUAAUACCGGAUAAUAUUUUGAACCGCAUGGUUCAAAAGUGAAAGACGGUCUUGCUGUCACUUAUAGAUGGAUCCGCGCUGCAUUAGCUAGUUGGUAAGGUAACGGCUUACCAAGGCAACGAUGCAUAGCCGACCUGAGAGGGUGAUCGGCCACACUGGAACUGAGACACGGUCCAGACUCCUACGGGAGGCAGCCGUAGGGAAUCUUCCGCAAUGGGCGAAAGCCUGACGGAGCAACGCCGCGUGAGUGAUGAAGGUCUUCGGAUCGUAAAACUCUGUUAUUAGGGAAGAACAUAUGUGUAAGUAACUGUGCACAUCUUGACGGUACCUAAUCAGAAAGCCACGGCUAACUACGUGCCAGCAGCCGCGGUAAUACGUAGGUGGCAAGCGUUAUCCGGAAUUAUUGGGCGUAAAGCGCGCGUAGGCGGUUUUUUAAGUCUGAUGUGAAAGCCCACGGCUCAACCGUGGAGGGUCAUUGGAAACUGGAAAACUUGAGUGCAGAAGAGGAAAGUGGAAUUCCAUGUGUAGCGGUGAAAUGCGCAGAGAUAUGGAGGAACACCAGUGGCGAAGGCGACUUUCUGGUCUGUAACUGACGCUGAUGUGCGAAAGCGUGGGGAUCAAACAGGAUUAGAUACCCUGGUAGUCCACGCCGUAAACGAUGAGUGCUAAGUGUUAGGGGGUUUCCGCCCCUUAGUGCUGCAGCUAACGCAUUAAGCACUCCGCCUGGGGAGUACGACCGCAAGGUUGAAACUCAAAGGAAUUGACGGGGACCCGCACAAGCGGUGGAGCAUGUGGUUUAAUUCGAAGCAACGCGAAGAACCUUACCAAAUCUUGACAUCCUUUGACAACUCUAGAGAUAGAGCCUUCCCCUUCGGGGGACAAAGUGACAGGUGGUGCAUGGUUGUCGUCAGCUCGUGUCGUGAGAUGUUGGGUUAAGUCCCGCAACGAGCGC
rnacentral:rRNA from 1 species